rnacentral:lncRNA from 1 species
CAACAGUAACUGUGACGUGAACCUGGGUCUACAGGUGCAACACUAGCAUGUUGAACAUGAGCUCGUGCUAGUGUUGCUGCCGUGCUCAAGGGUCAAGCUGAGAGGGUAAGUUUUGAACGGAUGUCGUUCAGCAUUCAUUAUAAAUUUAAUCUGUUGCACUUGAUAAUGAUCAACUCUUGGUUGUCCUUUGCUUUGCCUGGUGCACAGCUCUCAUUUUCUCCUAAUAUUUUUCUCACUCUUGAAAACAGAGUUGUACUGACUUCUUGUCUGGAGGACCUCGGAAGUAAUCUUUCAUGGAUCAAUUCCUCUCUACGUCCUUUGUUUUUAGAUUGAGAAGAGAAUUUUUUUGGGAAAUAAAGAAGCAGUUCCUAUUCGUUCUAGUGUUGUAUUUCUAAACUUCGAGACAAGGGAUAAGUUUGGGUACCAUUGCUACAUACACUUUGAGUAAAAUCCAAACGUCGAAUCAAGUAUCCUCUAGAAAAGGGACUUGCUACUUUUGAGUCAGAUCAAACCUUAAAAUCAGUCUGCAAGAUAAAGUAUUCAAUGUGAUUAUAAGGCUAAAAUUCAAAAGUAAGAGUGAAAAGGUACUUGGGAGGUAAAUUUCGU